GGCUAGGAUGAUAUUGUUAAAAGGCGAGGUCAGGAGUUUUGAUUAUAAAAAAAAUGGCAAAAAUAAAGGCAGGAUGACAAUUUAAGCAAAAAAAAGGAUAACGCAAUUAAUAUUGGCAAGACUAAUAGACAUGUCGAUGAAAGAGUGGGAAAAAAAUGCAAGACAGAGAUUACAACUAAAAAAAUGCAGGGCAAAAUUUUUCAUCC
rnacentral:lncRNA from 1 species